AUUGAACGCUGGCGGAAUGCUUUACACAUGCAAGUCGAACGGCAGCACGGGAGCUUGCUCCUGGUGGCGAGUGGCGAACGGGUGAGUAAUAUAUCGGAACGUAUCCAAUAAUGGGGGAUAACUAGUCGAAAGAUUAGCUAAUACCGCAUACGCCCUGAGGGGAAAGCUGGGAUCUUCGGACCUAGCGUUAAUGGAGCGGCCGAUAUCUGAUUAGCUAGUAGGUGAGGUAAAAGCUCACCUAGGCGACGAUCAGUAGCUGGUCUGAGAGGACGACCAGCCACACUGGAACUGAGACACGGUCCAGACUCCUACGGGAGGCAGCAGUGGGGAAUUUUGGACAAUGGGCGCAAGCCUGAUCCAGCCAUUCCGCGUGAGUGAAGAAGGCCUCGGGUUGUAAAGCUCUUUCGCAAGGGAAGAAAACUUAACCUCUAACAUAGGUUGAGGCUGACGGUACCUUGAUAAGAAGCACCGGCUAACUACGUGCCAGCAGCCGCGGUAAUACGUAGGGUGCGAGCGUUAAUCGGAAUUACUGGGCGUAAAGCGUGCGCAGGCGGCCUGAUAAGUC
rnacentral:rRNA from 1 species